AAGUCAUUUCACAGGGCUUGUGGGGCUGUGAAACCAAGCGUUCUUAACGCUAUGACCAAAUAUUUGAAGUCCUCCAUAAGAUAGCCACCAGGAAACACAAGA
ensembl:snoRNA